AAUAUUUCUUAUCAUGCACGCCAUCUCCAUUCAGGAAAGUAAAUUAAGAACUACGUUACUGUACCAAGCCAACUGACCUGUGUUAUCCGCUCCGCGAGGUAUAAUGACAUCAGCAAACUUUUUGGUCUAAAAAGAAAUUUCAGAUUCUAAACAAGGUUUACCGGUAAACAGAAUUCUUCAAAAGCUGGUUUAACUAGCAUAGUGUACUGAGCCAAUACUUGCUCCAGAUCCCUUCCACGCUCUCGAAUAUCGCGAAGAACUAUUAAUGGAUUACACAAAAAUUAUAUUACUAGUUAACAAUGAGGAAUUGUAAUCUUAAAACCUCUUCUUGAUAAGCGAGUAUCAGCAUCAGUGUCAACAAAAAGCUUCAUAUGAAAGACUUCUCUUAUUUCAGGGAAAUAAAAGACCAAGAUUCCUUCAAAUAGCAGGACAUCAGCAGGAUAAAUGGUGACAAAUUCAUCCAAUUUUCUGCAAAAAAUAUGAAAUACAUGAUGAACAUUCCAUGACGUUACAAUUAGUUAGAAUUUGUCAAACCUUGAGUUGGUCUUGAAGUCAUAAACAGGAAUUUUGCAAACUCUUCCAUCCAAGAUAUCCUUGAGUGUCUUUAAAAUAAGUUGAUUAUCAAAUGCAUCUAAAUUUAAAAAUUAAUAAAACAUUUAGUAAAACAUU